rnacentral:rRNA from 1 species
UACAGAGGGGGCAAGCGUUGUUCGGAAUUACUGGGCGUAAAGGGCGCGUAGGCGGCCUUCUAAGUCGAACGUGAAAUCCCCGGGCUCAACCCGGGAACUGCGUCCGAUACUGGAGGGCUUGAGUGUGGGAGAGGGAUGCGGAAUUCCAGGUGUAGCGGUGAAAUGCGUAGAUAUCUGGAGGAACACCGGUGGCGAAGGCGGCAUCCUGGACCAUGACUGACGCUGAGGAGCGAAAGCCAGGGGAGCAAACGGG